CCGCCGCGGUAACACGUGCAAGUCGCACGAGAAUUUCUACCUUCGGGUGGAAUAGUAAAGUGGCGCACGGGUGAGUAACGCGUGGAUAAUCUGCCUUCAAGUAGGGAAUAACAUUGCGAAAGCGAUGCUAAUACCGUAUAAGCUCACGAUUUGACUAGUUGUGGGAAAAGAUGGCCUAGUCUAUGCUAUCGCUUGAAGAUGAGUCCGCGUACCAUUAGCUAGUUGGUAGGGUAAUGGCCUACCAAGGCUACGAUGGUUAGCUGGCCUGAGAGGGCGGCAAGCCACACUGGAACGGAGACACGGUCCAGACUCCUACGGGAGGCAGCAGUGGGGAAUAUUGCGCAAUGGGGGAAACCCUGACGCAGCGACGCCGUGUGAGUGAUGAAGGUUUUCGGAUCGUAAAGCUCUGUCGGGUGGAAAGAAUAAAGGCUGUGUAAAUAAUGCAGUCUGAUGACGGUACCACCAAAGGAAGCACCGGCUAACUCCGUGCCAGCAGCCGCCGUAAGAC
rnacentral:rRNA from 1 species